rnacentral:rRNA from 1 species
UACGUAGGGGGCAAGCGUUGUCCGGAUUUAUUGGGCGUAAAGAGCGUGUAGGCGGCCGCACAGGUCCGUUGUGAAAACUGGAGGCUUAACCUUCAGACGUCGAAGGAAACCGUGCGGCUAGAGUCCGGAAGAGGAGAAUGGAAUUCCUGGUGUAGCGGUGAAAUGCGCAGAUAUCAGGAAGAACACCCGUGGCUAAGGCGGUUCUCUAGUACGGUACUGACGCUGAGACGCGAAAGCGUGGGGAGCGAACAGG